UCUUUUUCUUCUUCUCUUCACCGUGGGCGGCGCCCUCGCCGCCGCCGACACCGGGGAUCUUCUGCUUGAUCUUGUCCACCAAGCCCUCCUUGUGUUCGCCCUCCUUGUGUUCCCCGCCGUGAUGCUGCUGCUGAUGGUGAACAUCAGUAGUGCCGACACCGGGGAUCUGCUGCUUGAUCUUGUCCACCAAGCCCUCCUUGUGUUCGCCGCCGUGAUACUGCUGCUGAUGGUGGACAUCAGUAGUGUGGUGGUCCCCACUAUGGUGCUCUCCCUUGUGCUUGUCCUCCUCCUUUUGCCCUCCUCCCAUGUGAAGGGCUUCUCCGAUCUUGUGAAUAACUCCUGACAUUUUCCCUUAAAAUGACUCUGUUCCUCUUCUUUUCUUUUCAAUGAAAAAUAGUUGUUUGCGAUCUUCUUCUGGUUGUUGUUGUUCUUGUUGGGUGAUCUUGGCUUGGUAUUUAUAGGCUCCAAAAGGAGGGACUAGAAUUAGGAUUAGAUUAUAGAUUAUUUUAAUACAUUUUAUGGCAAAUUCUGAUUUGGAAAGAUAAGAUUAUCCUUUUGGUUUUCCUUAUUUACCCUUUUGCACCCAUUACGUGUACGCGUCUUCGUGGGCUUUUUGGGUAUUUCAAUUAUAUCGCCAAUGCUAAAUCGACACGUUGCAUAUCAGCCGCGGUACUGCCGUAUGUAGUUGUCCAGAAAUCGAGUCGAUUCUCGAUCGUACAAUAAUUAAAUAAUAUUUCAUACGAAAUGAGUUUAGAUAUAUUUUGAAAAUUUAUUUUUAAUUUAAUUAUACGUGUUAUAUAUUUGUUAAUCGAAUAGAGGUCCCACGUAACAGAGUGUUUCUCUAAUCUUUCAUUGCUUUUAAUUAAUUUUACCCAAAUAAAAAAAAAAAGGAAAAUUUAGAGAGAGAGAGAGAGAUAGCGAAUUAGAAGUUGAUUGUAAUAUCGACACCUGUCAGACAAUCAAAUAUCGUUAGUUAAAAAUCAGUUGUCCAUAGUCAUGGUCAUAGAUGGCGAAAUUGAUACUUAUUUUAAAAAACAAAACAAAACAAAACGAAACGAAACUAAACUAACAGAUGUUGAAAUGCAGUUCCGUGUUAACAGUCUGUGAUGAAUCUUUAUCUUUGAGUAUACCAUUCAAGAAAUUAUCAUUCAAAAAUUUAUUUAAAGCAGCAGCAAAUCACCUUCUAAUUCCUGAAUCAAAUUAAUUCGAUUUUUUUCGAGUCGAUCAAUUCAUUAGAGAAUUAACGGGCUAAGUUAAAGUUUUGUUAGUUAUUUUUUUUUAUAUUCCUUUAGAUGAUAUGAUUGUCAUUGUCUUUCUUUCUCUGGGCAACAAUAAAUACAAGAUGUGCAAAAGCGUAGUGGAACAUAAUUCGAUUAUGGGUAAAGGGAUCAGUCCGCAUAAUGAGGAUAAAGUUUUUCUCUUUAAAAAAAUUUAACCCAAAGAAAAGGUCGUAGUUUGUAAUAGCCGACACGCAGAUAGAUCACAAAGCAUGGCGGUCCUGAUGGCAAUAACUAACUGAUAUCUUCUGCGAUGAGAGGAGAUCACGUGGUUCUGACACGUAUCGCCCCAUCAACUGAUGUUGUGGCUGCAAUCGCGGCCCAGUCUUUAGAGAGAAGAAAGAUCUGUUAUAACGGGACCUACUUUAGCAUCUAUUUACGACAAAGCCCCUAUUUACUCUACUUAGUAGUAAUAAUAGCAAGUGUCGGGCUUGGAUUCCGUGUUGCUUUAAAUAAAUAUCCGCGUAAAAAGAAAAUGCUUCUUUAAUCCCUUCCUUGUAAUUUUUCGACACGUGGAUGGUUGAAAUUAGCGUGCCGACAUCUUAGGAAUUUUAUCUUGGAGACGGGAACACUGCAGUAGGCAAUGCCAUUUUCUUCGGAUGGUGUGUGGUGACAACGCCUUGGAUUUUGACGUGCAAAGAAUUUAAAUUGAAAAAGAAAAAAAGAAAUUACCAGAAUAAGCAUAGAAGAGAUAUUUUUCUUUUUGUCCUUUUUGGAAUGGAAAAAGAGAUCAAGAGAUUGUUCCAGUAAGUAUUACACAUGUCACAGGCUUAUUCAUGCCCCAUUAUGGCAACUUUUAUGCCUCGCGGUGCCCUCGGUUCCAGCAUAAUAGCUAAGACUUCAAUUUUUCUAACAUAUUUUUGUUACAAAUAUGAACGGAGUAAAUGUAUAACUUUAAUCCUUUGAAUAAAGAAAUGGCGGUUCUCCUGCUCGUUAAUCUCACUUGAAUCCCACCCAGGCAAAAUUUCUUUAUUUUAUUUAACAACAAUUUAAAGAAAGAAACUUUUGCCAGGUUGAAUUUCAAGUGAGAUUCAUUCGUGGGAGAAGUGCCAUUUCUUUAUUCAAAAGAUUAUGGUAAUUACAACUUUCAAUUUCGACAUAAAUUAAAAUUAUAGGCUAUACAAUAAAAUUGCCCUAAAUUAGUCCUAAUCAAUUCAGAUUAUAAAUUUAGGUAUAUUUAUUAUUUUAAUAUAUUAAUGUUCUAUAUAUAUAUAUAUAUAUAUAUAUAUAUGUGUGUGUGUGUGUGUAUNNNNNNNNNNNNNNNNNNNNNNNNNNNNNNNNNNNNNNNNNNNNNNNNNNNNNNNNNNNNNNNNNNNNNNNNNNNNNNNNNNNNNNNNNNNNNNNNNNNNNNNNNNNNACAGCAGAAAAUAUUUGCUAUGGAUAAGGAGACAUGGUCCCACGUCCCACCGUCCCAAUGCAUAUUUUGUAUGUUUCCAUCUUUUCUGAAAUUUUAAUAAAUAAAGUUUUUUGACCACUUGGCCAAAGAACCUUACCCUUACACAACUUUGUGGUUGGAGUCCUGUGAUACAUGUAAGAACUUAUUUUUUUUCUUAAUUAUAAUAUUUUAGAAUAUAAUUAAGUGAAGUAGGUUUUUUUUUUAAAUAUGAGUAAAAUAGAUAUUUUUUAAAUAUUAAAGAGAGUAAAAUUUGAAUAAUAAUAUAUUAAAAUUAAUACAAACUAAUUUUAAUAAUUAUUUAAUUAUAAAUAUCAAUUAUAACAUCAUAUAAUAUCAAUUAUAAUAUCGUACAUCUCAAUUAAUUCAAUAAUAAUAAUAAUAAAUGUUUUUUGGGAUAAGUAAACAGUCGCAUGGCGACAAUAGUGGAUCUGGAUUAGAGUGAAGUGGUCCCAAGAGGCUGAGGCUGUGGCUGUGGAGUUCUAAAAGUCAAAAGCUCCACGCACUUUGUUUCAGUACCAUACACACUGAAAAAAUUUGCAUUUGCAAUGACGAAAACUUUUCACGAAAUCAAAACACCUCUAAACUAUUUUGUUAUCGAUAUUUAAUGGAGGGGUUUCCUACCUUUUUAACACUCGAUUCACGCCUUGACGCAUCUCACAGAAAACCUCAUGAUCCCAUUAAUCUUGCGUAACAUAUCUCAAAGCCAAUGCAAGUGAUCUUGUUGCCUACUUCCCUUUGACGAUUCAAAAUUGUUGAAAAUAAUUCUUUUUUUUUUUAACCUCAAGGAAGUGACAAAAUAUAAAAGAAUAUUUUCUACACAUUAAACAUCUAGAUUUUUUUUUCUUUUCUUUUUAGAGUACUUGCACAAACCGUUUCCAAGAGAGACCUUUUUUUUUUUUUUUUUUUUCCGGGCUUGGUUACUAAUUUGGUGUGAAUACUCUAUGGUGAAAAAGGAAUCACAAAGCUGUAAUCAAUUUUUUUGCAUCAUUUAGUUGUAACUUGAACAUUGGGAGGUUUAUAAAGAAUUAAAUUAAUUAUAAUGCCUCUACUAGGAAAAGUUCAGAGUAGCCCUUCACAACUUUUUAAAGGCUUAAUAAUUUUCGCUUUCUUCCUCUCAUAACAUAACAAAAAAUUAAGAGCUUUACUCGUACACGUCCUAUGGCUAUAUAGUAUUGGGUUCUCUACUUCAAUCGGCUAUCUCAAACCGAAGGUUAUUUGGACACACCAGCAGUCACGUUUGGAAACUCUCAAAUGCUUGGAUUGUAAUUCUUGUGGAUGAGAUCAUCUAAAUCUUGGGCCCAAGCCGGACAAUGGGUGGACAAAGAACCCUAAAAUACAGUAAAGCUUCUAACACCCCACUAAAACUCUUAAGAAAUCCUACCUUUUAUUUUUAUAUCUCUUUCUUUUAGAAAUUAUAGAGAAGACAUAGCAUUUUAAUUAUUUUCCCUGCCAUUGAAAAUAAAUUCUGUAAACAUAUUUUUUCAUAAUAAAAUUAUUGUUAUUAGAUAAUUUAUUUCUUCAUUGUUUCAAAAUUAUUAUAAUUUUAUCAACAAAAUUAGUUAUGUCAUAUAUUAGGAUUAAAAUUAAUUAGGAUCCAUAACUUGUAAAGACAUUUUAGUUUAAUUGAAUUCAUAUUUGUCAUUUUAUGUAAUUUUCAAUAAAAAUACGACUAUGAGUGCAAAAGUGGGAUGACAUAAUAUUAAAAGAGUGUGAAAUAAUCGGUAAUUGAAAUGGAUUGAAAUCAUAAUAGAGUAUGAAAAUCAGAAUAAAUUGUUUACUUUAGUUGUAGAAAUCAAAAUUAAAAUAAACCAUAUUAUCAUUGAUGUAUAUAUGUUUUCUUGUAAUCGAAAUGAAUUCUUAUAAGUUACUAUAAGACCCUUAUGGUGUGUUUACUAAUCAGAAAUCAGAAUGGAGUGGAAUUUGAAUAUAGAAUGGUAGGGGUAUUCGCGGAUCGGAUUUUACGGAUUGGACAUUAAUUCAUAUCCGAUCCAUAAUUUUACGGAUUAUAAAUUCUCAACACAAUCCAAAUCCAAUCUAUAUGUUUGCAGAUCGGAUGCGGAUUUGACUCAAUUCAUAUCCAAUCCACUAUUUGACGGAUUGAUUUUGGAAUUAAAAAUUUUUAAUUUUGUCCAAUCUAUGAGGUAAUUAAAUUUAAAAAUCUAAUAUAAAAAUAAUUUAUUAAAUAAAAAAUUAACGUAAAAAUAAUUUUACUACCAAUUAAAUUCAAAAUUGAACAAGAUUUAAAUAAAUUAAUUAUUUAAAUAAAACUAGAAUAAUUUAUUUAAAAUUUUUAAAUAUAACAUAUCGAAAAAAAAUUCAUUUGUUUAGAUUAAUAUAUGAAAAUUAACUAAAAUUAUGAAUUUAAAUGUUGAAAUUUGAGAGCUUGGAUGUAACAGGAAGAAAUUAAGAAACUUGAAGAACUUGAAAAGAAAGUAACAAAUUAAGCUUAACUACCUCUAAUGGUGAAGUGAAACAGUGAUGGUUUGUGCGUGCAAUGGGGUACAAAUUUGGCAUUAUAUGCCAAAAUAUUUUGUUUGGCUUUAGAAUUUUUAAUGUUUAGGAAGCUAUAUUUGUUUAUUUAAUUACUCAAAUAUUUAAUUAUUUUUUAUUUUAUGUUAUUAUUGAAUAAGAUAUAAUAUUGUGUUAAUUUAGCUAUACUUUAAUUAAUUAAUUAAUUUAUUAGUAAGUAGCAUUGCUACAUUUAUAAGUUUUAUUUUUUAUUAAAUAAAUACUUUUUUUUUUCAGAUUCACGAAUUUUUACGGAUUUACAGAAAUAAAUCCAUAUCUAAUCCAUCGACUGUGGUUUUUUAAAUUUUCAUUCCAAUCCGAUCUACCAAUCCACAAAUUAUAUUUUUACGGAUCGGACGAAUUGAGCGGAUCAAAUUGGGUUCUGAACACCCCUAGAGAAUGAGAAUCAAAAUAAAUUAUUUACUUUAGUUGUGUGAAUCGGAAUUGGAAUAAAUUGUACUGUCAUUGAUGUGUUUACUUUAUCUUGGAAUCAGAAUGAAUAAUUUCAAAUUACUAAACUGACCUUAAUUUUUUAUUGUAAUAAUAAUAGUAGUAGUAGUAGUAAUAGUAGUAAUUUUCUAUUAUUAUUAUUAUUUUCUCUCUCUUUUGUUUUUAUUUUUUUAUUUUUCUCUUCUUCUUCUCUUCCUCUUUUUUUAUUUUUCUCUAAUUCAUCGAUACUUCUUCUUCUUCUUUUUUCUUUCGUUUUUAUUUUUAAUUUUUCCCUUCUUUAUCGUUCCUUCUUCUCCGUCCAUUCUCUAUCUUCAAACUCUUUUUACUUUUUCUCUUAUUCUUCAUUACUUCUUCUCCCUUUUUUUUUUUUUUCUCUUCUUUAUUAAUUCUUCUUCUUCUGCGUCUAUUCUUCAUCUUCAAAUUAUCAAGUGAAAAAUACCCACGGUGCCUUACAAGAAGAAUUGGUUUUGUUUGCUUCAAUUAUUUUUUGUAUUUUGUACUUUUGAUUGUUUCAAAAGAGGAUAAACUUGUAAUAAUGCAAUUUAAGUAGGGAUGUUUUAGACAAUUUUGGGUAUGAGAGUCUAAUUCCCAACCCCCCACUCCCUCGUAGCAGACUCCCAUUCUUCAUUCCUAACUUGGUGUUGGACCUACUAAAAUAAAUCCCAUUCCCCUUCUUAUUUCAAGAAGCAAACACGAUUUUGAUUUCAAUUCCCCAAUCCGAAAGUAAACGCACAAAAAUUGUACCCAUAUGAGAUUGCUUAUCCUCGAGUUUUUAGAUUGAAAAAAAAAAAGGAAAAAAGAAUGGCCCCAUUAGGAAGGGAUUUUAAGUGUUAGAUAAAGCCGGUGUUAACCAUUAGAAGGUCUCCGACCUUCAACUGUAAUAUAUUAAACCCAGAUAAAUUUACAUAUAAAUCACACAAACCAACAUGCCAAUCAAAUAAAUUACAUCAACUAACAACAAUUGACACAUUAAUUUUCAUAAUACAGAGGAUGCAGAAAAUUAAAAUGUUUUAUCUUUUCUCCUUAUUUGUGAAUUGGAAAAUGAAAAUGUUAAACAUACAGAAGAGUGAAACAGGAUGGAUAUAUAUACACACACACACACACACAGCUUUGGAGUUCAAUGUCAUCGUAUUGCUCCAAGAAGAUUGGCGCCAUCAAGCUUUGCACCUUCCAGAUGCUGUUUAAUCAUCACCAUAACACCUUCAGUAGACAUUAAUACAUAAUAGAAACACAAAAUUCACAUGAUCUGAAUGUCUGGUCUAUUUUACUUACCGUAUCUCGAAGAUUUACGUGCCGUAAAUAAGCUCUUUGAAGGUUGGCACCCUUUAAAUUGGCAUUACGUAGCUUUGCACCCUGCCGCAUAAAUGUUCGAAGUUUCAACAAAUUAAAGUCUCCUGAGAAAUACAUGUCACGAAAAAGUAGGGCUGAAACUUGCAUCUAAUGUACAAGAUUCAAUCAGGGGUGCUUGUCCCACAGUGAAAGUGUAUGGGGGAAAGUGCACUUUCACAAACCAAAGGGGCAAGAUGUGAUUAUCACACGAUUACAAAAGGACUGUAGUCAAGAGAGAGAACUGAACAUGCAGCUUGUAUUGAGGCCAUGAAAAUUGAUGAAAAGCAGUAACAAGCAACCAUUUUGAAAACACUUCAUAUGGUCGAAUCAAUAAAUCAAAGCUAAAAUGAUGUUGACGAUCGAUAGCUUUUAGGUGAUAAGAGUCUUGGCACUACAGUUAAAAUUAUUAUCUAGGAGUGCACACAUUAAUAAAAAAAAACACAACCAAUAAGCAUGCACUCUUAAUCAGCAUAUAAAUUAACAAGUUAGUUGCACCUUAUGUUGUUCCACAAACAGAUUGCUCGAACAAUUCACAAUCUUACCUUCAAAUUAGCUCCUUCCAAAUUAGCUCCCUCUAGGUUGGCAUUAGUAAGAUCAGCAGUCUGAAAAGUCAAGAGGACAAACAGAUUGCAAUUUGAUUAAAAUCUCAAAGUAGCAACAUUCUGCAUGAAAGAAGAGCAGCACAAUUGGCAACAUACAUUUUAGAUUAAGAGGAUGGGAUAAAAGCAAAAUUACAAGGACAUGAAGCAAAUGAGCCAUGUUUAGUAUGGCAAUUUUGACCCAAUAAUUGUGGCAGGUCUUGGAGAUAACAUAGGCAUACACAUAAGGCAGAAGCAAAUACUGUCGCAAACUCCUAGCUAACUACAAAUGUUCCAUAUAGAAAAAAACACCUGCAAAAGUAAGGGAAAAAGCAACAGAUAAAGAACUCAAGAUGCUAGACCUGUAAGUGUGCAGAUCGCAGGUCUGCUCCACAGAAGCUGCAGUCUAUCAAGCAAGCAUCUGCAAUGAUUUAAGAUAAAUUUGAAUCCAAAUGACAUUUUACCGCAAGUAGUUCCAGCCAUUUUGGGAACAAACAAGAAAUGCUAUUUUGUAUUCAUUGUAAUUCCUUAAGCUAAAUAACAAUCAUGUGCUAUCUUAACCAAGGUACAGUUGCAAAUUCUGAAAUUGUGAUGCCAUAGGUUGUUCUUAAUCUUUUUGAACUGAAUAUUGAAAAAAUAUUCCUUCAAUCAUAAAUGUUAAAUAAUUAAAAGAACUGUGAGGGGGGNNNNNNNNNNNNNNNNNNNNNNNNNNNNNNNNNNNNNNNNNNNNNNNNNNNNNNNNNNNNNNNNNNNNNNNNNNNNNNNNNNNNNNNNNNNNNNNNNNNNNNNNNNNNNNNNNNGGGGGGGGGGGGGGGGGAAUGAAUAAGCGGAUGCAUACAGAAAAUUAUGGAAAAUCUGUUAUGGAAAUAAUAUGAAAAUGGGUAUGCAUAACUACAUACUGAAUCUUGACUAAUUUCAAUUUAAUUCAGAUAAGAAAUUCCAGUAUGGGAAUUGCCUUGUAAAUUUGCACUCUGAAGAUUUGCACCAGCUAGUAAAGCUCCACGAAGGUUUGCCCCAGCAAAUUCACAUCUUCCCUAGGCAAGAUAAAACCCUUAAAAGGCAAUUUUGAAAAAUACAUAUAAUUGGGAGAAUAUCCAGUAUUGCUUUGACUCUCUUACUCACGCAAAGUUGCAUUGUGAAAAAUGGAACCCUCAGCAUCCACAUCCUGUAUCAAGAACAGACAGAUUCAGUAUGAUUAAUAUAACUGGUUGCUGGAAGACAGGACAAAAUCGCAUCUUGUCACUGUCAACUUGCAUGUUAAGAAUUAAACACGAAAACUGCAUGCUGUCCAAUUAUAAGAAACCUAUAAAAUUCAAAUCAACAUCAAUACUGGCUUAAGGAAGAUAUAAAAAUAAAAAUUAUACCAACCCGAAAUUUCGCAGAUUGAAGAUUUGCACGUGAGAAGAAAACAUUUCUAAGACACGCAUAGCUGAAGUCCACAAGUGAAAGAUCCUGGCCAUUUUAAUAAGAUAGCAUCAGAGGAAACAAUAUCUAAUGAAUAUAUAAUGUUCUUUCUUGCUUAUCUGAGAAUACUAAUGAGAUUAUCAAAAAAACUCUAAGCUACUGCUAAGAAGUCUUGUGUUACAUGAGUAUGAAUUGAGGAGGUAAAGAAGACCCUUCUCCAAUAAGUUACCAUAGAAGCCACAUAAAACCCUAAAGCAGUUACAAACUUACAAUGACCAGAAUAAACCACCCCAACUAUCUAUUGGCAAGUAAAAUCACUUCUCUGGAUUUCUGAAAACUAGCAAAACAAAUGCAUAAAUUGGCAAAUUCGAUGAUUUCCUCUGAAAACCAAAUUAUAGCAGACAUAAAACUUGGAAGUAUUCAUAGAAUAAAAAUCUUUCAAGCACCUCAAUUCAGUAAUUAUUACCAGCUUAGAAAGAUCAAGGCCAGAAAGAUUAAGUCCUCGAAAUCUGACUUUUUCAGACUGUAUACACUUGAUGAUAUCAAUGCGUGUUAGCUCAGUAUCUAACUCAUUAUCUUCCUUUCUCUUAUUUAUGACAGCAUGGAUUCUCUCAAUUAGUCCCUGAAAUGAAACACAUUAGAUGCAAACUAUUAUUUGAAAAAAGAAAUACAUUUUAUCCACUAACACACAUGGAUUUCAACAGCAAUCAUACAAUAAUUGAGGAAGGACGGUCAUAUCAGACUCAUCUGCCAAGAUUCAAUAAGCACAUCAAACUUGUUUACAUGUAAUUUCCACAUUCCACGUGAAUUUAUAAGGUCUGCCUAAGCAAACCAAAGAAGGCUACACUCAGUACUGUGUGUAUACUGCCUUACCUUUGCUGUUCCCCAGAUACCGUCCUGCAAUCCAGAUACUUAGCUGUGAAGUUUCAAGCCAGCGAAACCAUUUUAAAAGUACACAUGGACACAGAUACCAUUAUCUGAAUCAUCUUCGAUAACAAAUUAAAAUGCCCUAGCGUUCAAAAAACUUAGGAUCUCUUUAAGUGAAGUUCCUUUAAAAAAGUAGAAAAAAACUGAACAACAAUGUCAUGCUAAUAAAAGGUAAAAAAAAUAAAAUAAAAUAAAGCAUAAGGACAGAAGUUCACCAGGAGCAUGCCAGUAUAAACCAAAACGACCACAAAUCUCAACCAUAAAAUUUAAAGUAGUAAAGUAAAUAAUCAAGGGCAUGCAGUUGGCACAGGUGCUUCCAAAUAAAAUGAUGAUUCUUUUCAAACAGAAAAAAGAAAUGGAUGUUAAUAAACUAGAAGAAACCAUGUCUUACAAGUAAUUGAUAAUAUUCUGCUUCCCGUAGAAGCUCUAAAAACUCUGACUCUGUUAAUGUGGGGACAGCCCCAUCCCUUAACCAAUUCAGAAUAUGCCGAAAAUGUUUUCCGUCCCUAUCAACAAAGAUAUAGCCCUGCAAUAAUUCAAUAUGCUCAAAGAUAAGAAUCUGAAUAAUAUACCCAAGAGAAGUGCUUUUCCCUGGAAUAAUAAAAAGAAAAUAAGUCAAAACGUUUUUCUUAAUGGAAGAACACAAAGGAACAGCUCUAUGACUAACAUGAAAACCAUAAAUCAGAAUAAGAACCCAAAACUGGUCAUUUGGAGUUUCACCAGAUCAAAAAGAUCACAUGGAAAUAAAAUUGUGAAAAUGGGAUUAUUUAUGCCGAGGUCAUGGCUAAACUGCAAUCAUUACUCCAUUUUUGGUAGAAGGAGAAGAAGAAAGAAGAGUAGGUGAGUCAUCAUUCUUUCAGGUGAGUCAUCAUUCUUUCUCUGUGAUUAAUUGAUAUGAUGGAAGUGUUGUAGAUAUUAAUUUGAUAGUGAUUCCUCCCUUCAAAAGAAUUCAUUCCUUUUUUUAUUAUUUCACAAAGUUUAACUAAGACUGAGUUUUCUCAAUUUGAAGGCAUCGUGCACUCUACCCCUUUCUUUUCCUCACAUUGCUUCUUCCCAAUCCCAAAGGGAAGAAAUCAAGAAACAAUUACAAUUUUUAACUAUUCACCAGCAAAAACAAGGCAAAGAAAGAUGCUGAGUGUAAGCAAAAAUAAGAGAGUUAUACACCUCAGAGUCUUGGCACACAGUAUGGCGACCGCUGAACAUAGCUGCAAGCAUAGAUUCAGGCUCACGACGAGUCAGAGUAUCAAUUGUUGUAUAAAAUUUCUUUCCCCCUGGAUAUUAAUACAUAAAAUAUAAAUUUGUUCACUUAAAAGCAUGAAUUGUGCAAAUUUGUCAAUAAUGUCAUUCUUUCACAAACGUUCACCGAAAUGUAUAACAAUAAGUGCAUCAUAACAUAACUAAACGGCUUAAGAACUGCGCAGAUAUUACAUACAGUAGAGAAACAAGAAAUAGAAAAUGAGAUUUGCCCUUUUUAAACAGAAAGCAAUCAAAGAGUAAACUAAAGAGCUAAUAAUUCACAAAAUUCAGUUGAUUAAACUCAUUUACAAGUAAUUAGCAACAAAAUCCAAGCUAAAUAAAAAUAAUGAAAAUUAGGUUCUUAUAACAUCCGUCAAUUCUAUGAAAGUUUACCACGAUCAGCAACAAAUAGAUAAAUCGCAAUAAAGAAAAACCGACGACAUGUCGGUUGUGUAGUGCAUAAGUAAAGGAAUUUGCAGAUGAUGUAAAGAGAAUGAGGGAUAGUAACUGACCGAUGUUGAGACGAACCAUUGAAGACGAAUCGGAGUCCUUCGCCAUUGUCGAGUGUAAUGACUUGUCGUCUUACUUGCGCUCAUAGGUAUUUAUAUCAUAGCUGACACUGUUCGAAGGACAGCAAGGAUUUGGUGGGCACAAAUGCAUUUUGGAAAUUGGGCUUCGGCCCAAGAAAUCGAAAAUCAGAGGCUUUUUUUUAAAAAAAAUUUAAAAGGAUUAGAAUGUCUAUAAAUUAAUAGGGCUGAGACCAUCUUAAAUCUAUUAAGUAAAAGAGAUAUUAAAUAUUUUAUUAAUUAAUAAUUUAUUAAUUUACAGAAUUAUUUAUAAUUCAAUUAACAUACAUUUAAUAACUAAACAUUCAAUGUACAUAAUUUCUGAUUACAAUUCAAAGCACUAACAAUACUUCAUAAUUUCUUAUUACAAUUCAAGAAUUCAACCUCAUAGCUUUUAGAUGCAAUAAGAAAAAUAAGAAAUAAGAUUCAGUUAUAUUUAAAUUUUAAGAAAAAAACAAUAAAAUCAUAUUUUAUGUAAUUAAAAUAUCAUAGUCAACUACAUUUGUAAUUUCAACAAAUUAUUACUCUAUGAUUUAAAUGAGACCACAAAGUUAUAUAAGAUUUUAUCGAAAUUAUUAAUUUAAUCCAUUAGUCCAUGUCAAGACCUUGAAAAUUUAAUAAUUAUAUAAUAGAGAUUAUUAAUUUAUCGAGUAUUAAUUUAUAGAAGUUCUGAUUGUAUAUUAUUUUAUAUUAAUAAAGAAUAAAGUAGCAUUCUUUUUUAAUUCCGAAGUAAUAAAAUUAUGGCUAAAUUAAGAGAGUAGAUAUAUUUUAUAACUUGGUUUAAUAACAUCACGCGCCUCCCUUGUAGUUUUGCAGCUUUGAAGCUUUAUAAUGAAUCCUAUUAGCUUUGGCUGGAAAGUUAUAUUGUUAAAGAGAGUUUAUAUAUUAAACAAGGUGAUCUAAUAUUUCCAAAACUAAAUUUGGGAUCAAAAAUAGAAAACAUUUGCAUGUUUUUACCUUUUGGAAGAAUUACUUGAUAAGUGCUUCACAGAAAAAUGCUUGCUAUUAUAGAGCACCCUAAAAAAAAUCCUUAAUAAUUGAGGGAUCAUAAUAAAGUUCAAUUCUAAAUCUGUCAGAUAGAUCGAAAGUAACAAACCAUAUAUAUUUAAAUCUAUUUAGUAAUCCAGGGUUACAAGCCAAGCGUGCAAUAGCCAAUUCUGAAAAUCAAAGCUCAGCCUAUGCUCUCUGAGCACAAAUAAGAUCUGAUAUAUACAUAUCGAAUCCUCCAUUAUGUGGAGUGAAAUUUCCAUCGUGUACGGUGUACCUAACAAUGAGAAAGCAUGGCAGCAUAAAUUCAUCUUCCAUGUUAUUCUACUUAUUAGUACUGGUUCCCUCAUAACUUCUCCAAAUCGGGGAGGUCUGCAAUGUGUAAAGCACGUAAUCAGAUAAAAGAAAGAGAGCCAAAAAAAAAAAAAAAGGUAACAGCCAAAAGAUUAAAUUUCUUUGAGAAAUAGAAAAUGGGAGCUUUUGGCAUAGGCACAGAAUAGAAAGUAACAGAGUCAUUUACAGUUGUUCAGAAUAUGCAAGCUGAAAACAACUUUGAAUGCAAUGGACAAUUCCUCCAACAAACAAUCGAAUUGGAUUGUGGAAGAGACAAAAGCUUAAUGAGGUUAUGGUUUUGGCUAGGUGAACUCAAAAUUCUUUUAUAGACCAAGUAGGUAAAAACAAAUCCCAUAUAGAUGGAUGAACCUCAUACCAUGAACAGUUAAUCGCGAACACUUGCAGGCUUAUGCACACGACUAUGAAGAUACUAAGGGUUUCACCGAUGGUAAGUGAAAAAUAUAUGAUGUAUAAUUUAAAUGGAAGCACAUAGUUUCGGAUUGAAUUCAAGGUUAAAGUUCCACAGACAGACAGAAGAGAUGAAGCUUAAAAACUUACAGAGCAUUCCUUCAUCAUCACUGCUUUCAUCAUUUUGGCCAACAUGCUGAAAAAAGAAUAUGAUUCAAGUUAAAUGAUUGAGCAACAAUAAAAAACGUGCAAAAUUAAUGCUCUCUCCACAAAAAUUUCAGUCUAUAUUGGUAAGAAGAAACAGGAAGAAAAAAUUACCUCAGCAUCAUCGUCAUUGGAAGCCAAAUCAGCUGUAAAGACCACAAAAUGUUUGGUUAGAACCAGUGGAAGUCUUACUCUAAAAUUUUUAAUUUUUGAAUUUCGAAAGAUCUCGUAAUGACAAAGAUUUUCAUAUCCAGUGACCAAGUUUUGAAAAUUAGAAUACGGAAUGACAUCAACUAAAUUCACUAAUAUAAGCUAGAGGAAUCCCUAGUAGAUAUAGCGCACAUGCACACAUGAUAUGCAUCCGAAUACACAAUAAUAAAUUAUCUCAAAGUCAAUAAGAAGCCAAAAUUAGAGAUAAACUUUUAGCCACUAUAAGGAAGACUGAUAUUUGCAGUGUGAUUACAAUAAACAAACAGAAACUUCACUACCCAUAAGUAAAACAAAAUAAAUAAAGGAUAAUAACUAACCAAGAAAUGGAAAAGCUCACAUUCUCUGAACACGCACCCCAAAAAGAAAGAAAGAAAUAAAUGUUCUCAUUGGAUCUGAAGCACAAGCAAUCCACUGACAUCCUUCUAUAAUUAGGUAAUUUAAAGGGGUUAAGCUCACAUCUUUUACGGAAGUAAGAAGAGAAUUAACAACCUUCCAGAGGAUUUAGGGAAAUACCACGAGGCAAGAAAAAAGAAAUAUCCUUCUUCAAUCUAGAUAUCCUGAUACUGCUCACCAUCUACAACAGUCUGUGGCUUAAAAAGCAGGUCACUGAUCUCUCCCUCCCUCUGGCACCAUUUUCUCUCAUGUCUCAUUUUUCCCUUCCUGCCAACUCCCACUACAGUAUUGAAACCUAUUCUAUCAACUCUUCCCCCUCCAAUAACAAGACCAAAACCAAUUUUACUCGCCGGUUAGCUAGGUAGUAAAUGGAAAUUUGUGAAUCUGUCAUUCAUCCGUAGAAACAAACCAGAACUGCAUAAAUUCUCUUCUCUCCCAACAGCUUCUUUUCUCCAGAAAUAGGCACAAGUAUUUGACAUGGAAACAGUUUAUCUAACAUGGCCACCUUUAAAGACAAAGACAUACUAAGGACGUGGUUUUAGAUACGGAUACAAGAAACAAUCACAAAAUGUAAAAUCUAUACAUAUGAUAUUAAUUUCCAAUGGAUACAGCAAUUCAUUCUUUGACAUAACUUCAUCAGAUUACUAGGUUUGAUUAGGUUAUACACACAUUUAUUCAUUUAUUGAAUCUACAUGCACUUAGAAUGAGAGGUACCUAUAAAAACAAGUUACCAGAAAACAAUACAGCUAGAAAACAUUAAUCUAAGUAGUUCUAUAGGUUUAACUAACUGCAGGAAAAAACCAUUGAUUUUGUCCGCCAGAUUAUCGAGAUCCUAAUUCUGGUAAAAAGAAAAUGAGAUAAUAGAAAAUCAAAAAUUAAAUAGACACAAAAUGAGAAAUCAAGAUCAUAUGGCAACUAAUAUAUAGCAUGGGCUGCAGCUAACAAGCAAUAUAAGCCAUGAUAUUAUGCCAGAUACAAAUUUUGAGAUCCAAGAGAGAUCAAGAAGCAUGAAUACCACUAAAAUAUCGAAAGAAGUGAGUGCAGAAGGAUAAGAAAUCAGGUUGAUAUUCUUCAUACUUUGGAUCAACACGUAGUGAUGCAAUAAACUUGUAAUUAGCUUCAAAUGUAUAGGCUACCAUGUCAACAUUUCCGAAAACACACAAGAUUGUGCUGGAUUCAUACAUAGUACAUAUAUAAAAAAACAAUCUGCUUCUAAACUUCAUGAGAACAUCGAAUAAUGAACUUACAAUUUGAUCCCUCAUCAUCUUCAUCGCACCAUUUGUUCCAAUCAACCUUAAUGUAAGGUGCUGGUUUCUCUUCUGACUUGAGUAGCCUUUUCCACCAACCUUUCUCUUCUUUUUGGACCGAGCAUAUUAUGUUCCUUAAGCCAACUUUAGUCUUACAUUUCUGCACCACCAGCAACAAAACUCAAAGCAUUACAAAAGAGGUAUAUUUAGCCGCUCUUGACUCGAGUGAGAGAACAGGAUAAAUAGCCUAGGUAUAUCCACAUCCAUGUUAUGAGAUUGAUUAUGCAACAGCUAACUUUAAUAUAAAGCUUUUGCUUCAACAAAGACUAAAAUGUUUGUAAUUGUUAUGCUUUUGGAGCUAAAAUGUUUGGCAAACACCCACUUUUACUCUGCACCUAAUAUCUACCACCCACCCACACACUAAGUCUCUCGUUUGGUACAGCUAUUUAUCAGUAGUGGCUUUAAGCCACAACAUUUAAAGCGAAUUUACCCUAAAAUUUUACAAUGAAAAACCUAUACUACCUUUAACAUUGUUGUCAAAAUUAUUAUUAUAAGUAAUAUUUACCAAACACUAUCAACUUCCAAUUCAUAUCAAAGAGCUUUCACUCCACAAUAGCCGUGUCUUCUUAAGCCAGAACAACACAAUACCAAAGGCCUUAAGCUAGUGAUUUGAUUUCACAACAACUGCAGAUCAAGCCUCAAUCCCAAACAUACAUAAAUCAAAUGCAGAAAGCAAAAAUUUAACAAUAUGUUUGGUAUACUAAAUGUCUUUCAUAGUUUCAUUUCACAGGGUAUUUAGACAUGCAAUGAUAAAUUGGAGCAAUUUCAAGAACCGAAUUGACCUCAGGUAAAAUUUUGCCAAAAAGUUCCAAGCUGAAGUCGUAAAGCUCGCCUUGGACUCCGACGGCCGAGAAGCCAAAAAUCCCCUGAGGCUCGCAUUUCACAGAAAUGUCUUUCGCAUCGGGUAAUGAAAUGGUAAGGUAUACUUUAUCGGAGCGCUGAGCCCAAAGAACCUCCGGAUGGCGACUGAACAUAAAAGAAAUAAUAAUAAUAAUAAUAUUAUUAUUUUUUAUUGUGACAAUUUUGAACUAAUAAUUAGAGACAUUUAACAACAAUAUUGAUUAAUAUUGGAGAAGAAAAAUAAGGUUACAAGAGAGAAUCAGAAAGAUUACCUCAUUCUGGUGGAUGAUUGAAAACGGUGGGUCGAUUGAUGAACAGAAGUGUAACUGUCUGGGAGUGAGAGUGACUCUGCUGUUUACUGGGUAGAGUGUGCUUACUCGAAGAAAUUGAAAGUGAUAAUCUCGGGCAAGCCAACACGUCGAUUUGGUCAACAGUGGUCCAACAAACCAGGAACUAGGUUUUUUUUUUUAAAUGAUUUUUUUUUUCAGUAUUAUAUUGCCCCGCCCGUGGGCUAUUACAUUUUGGCCCUUUUGGGGACCCCUCGUUCUCUUACAAGAAGGGAAUAUUCUUUUCCAUCCACCGGUUUGUAGGCAGAGUACAUAUACUCUUCGAAAUUAAGGACAAAUUUCUGAAUCGUGCCGCAUUAGAAUUAAAUUGAGUCUCAAAAGAAUUUUGGUUAUAAGUAUAUCGUUCAAACGGUAAUAUAUUAAAAAAAAUAAUAUUUACUACAAUGUAGACCUAUCGGGACUUUGAAGCCCAGACCAAUUCUUGAGUCUAGCCUAAUAACACCUCAACAGAUCAAAAUUGAAAUCCAACUUAAAUUUCAAUAUUGUGUAGGGAUCUGCCUUAAUUUAGAUAUGUCAAGACCUGCCUUAGGCAUCAAAGUGAUCUAUCUUAACAUAACUAAGACUUUCUUUAAACAUCACAAUGAUUUAUCUUAACGUAGUCAAAUCUAGCCUAAAAAAAUCUAAAGAAGGAAAAAAGAAAUUAUUUUCACGUAUUGAGAGACUUAAAUUCUUAACCUUAUUCAUAAGAAAAAAAAGUGUAUUACUUAACUAAAUCGUGACUAAAAAUUAUAAUUAUUAUUUUUUGUACAUUUAGCUUUAAAAAAUCAUUAUAUAUAUAUAUUCAUAUAAGUUUUGACAUAAUAUACAUACCACUUAUUUGUUUUUUAAAUUAUACGAGAAUGAAAAAACUCAAGCAUUAAACACCAACUUUUGUUUCAUGCUAUCAAUCAACUUGAGAAAUUUUAUAAUAUAUCGGAAGUUCUACGUCACAAUUUAAUACGAAGCCUUCGAUUAAUAAUAAUUAGACACAUGACAAUAGAUGCUAGAGAAAUUUUAAAUUCCCUCUUUUCAUUAUCCCUCCAAAUUUAGAAUUUCAAAAAAUUAGAGAAUAAAUGUUGCUUGCUCUCUUUGUUAUCUAAUUCUAAUUAUUAUUUUUUUCUCUCUCUCUCCAAUCAAGUUGCUAGCAUUUUUUAAAUCUAUUGAAGAAUAAGAAGAAGGUUUUUGUCGAUGAAAUGAUUUUGGCAGCCUUUUUUACCCAAAGCUAACAUGAUUGCUGCGACUACCAAUGAAGAAAAAGAUGUGUUUUGCUGGCGAAGAAGAUGAUUUUUGAAGCAUGAGUGGCUGCCGUUUAUUUUUUUCCUUCAUAUUUUUCGAUGUAGUGGCUGUCCUCAAGUUUUAUUCAUUUACUUUUCAGUUGGCCUACUAUUUAUUGGCAUAAUGAAAAAUUUUAUUUUAAUAAGCAUUUAUAGAUUAAUUUGAGGAGGUUUCUUUUGCAAUAUUAGUGUGGUUUCUGCAUUGGUAUGAUUUAAAUUACGAACUUGCUACAAUCUUUAAUUAAACUGUCAAAAGUAAUUUAAAAAAUCUUUAAUUAAACCGUCAAAAGUAAUUUAAAAACUGACAGUAGAUAGAUUAGAGAUAGGCUUGACAAUUUAGCCCGACUCUAUUUUUAGUCUGAUUGAUCCGAUCCUAAUUUUUAAGACUUUGGCCUGAAUUUUUUGAUUUCGGGUCGGGUUCGGGUCAAAAUUUUAAGGCCCGAACAAAUUUAGGGUCAGGGUCGGACUUAAAACCAACCCGACCCGACCCUAUUUAAAAAAAAAAAAACUAACACACGCACACAACACAUGACAGUUCACUCUCUCUAAAUCGUAAAUCACACACACAAAAUACACUUACACAAAUUCACAAAAACCCUAAGCCAGCCACCCAGCCUGCUGCCGUCCUAUCAGCCAACAUCGUGACCGUCCGCCGCACGCCAGCCAAUCAGCCGUCGUCUCGUCGUCGCAUGUCUCACCAAUCAGCCAUCGUGACCGUCUGCGACGCUGCGACAUGAACUUGAACCAGCCGCCCUUUGUCGCCGUCCUGCCGCAUCCGCCUGCCAGCCAACGAUCAAUGCACACAGUUGAAUUGUGGGGUGGGAAAUGGUUUCGAUAGGGUCGGGCUCGACCCGACCCUAACUAUAAAGAGGUAGGGCUUUUUUAGGGUCGGGUUUUAAUUUUUUGUUGAUCGGGUCGGGUCGGGUUUGGCCAAACCCGAGCCCGACCCGACGUUUUGCCAUCCCUAAUUAGAGAUGAAGAUUGGAGAGAGAGAAAAAUAUAAUUUGAAUGAGAUAAUAAAGAGAGAAGAAAUUCUAUAAUACAUCAUAAGUAAUAUAACUCAUUGAUGUAUGCAUGAUAUAUGUAAUUAACCUUAAUAUAACUAACACUUGUAUGGUGAUAUUUCAAAAUAAAUAUACAUAUGUUAUAAAAUCAUUUACUUAUUGUAUGACUGACAUUUUAUUUUUGAUGUAUUGUACAAUUUCUCAGAAGAGAGUAGUAUUUAUUAUCUCUAAUUUUUUGAAAUUCUAAAUUUUGGAAGGAUAAUAGAAAGAGAAAUUUUAAAAAUUUUUCAACGUAUAAUGCCAUGUAUCUAAUUAUUAUUAGUCGGUGUUCCACGUUAAAACGUAAUAUAGAACCUCUGGACCUUACUGUAUAAUGUACUGUAGAAUUUCCUGAUCACACACUUUCUCAGUUGCAAAAGAGGUGGGCAUAUGAGUUCCUUACGGGGAUUUAGUGUGAAUCCACGCAAAGCCCAUAUAGAUUUUUCCGGUUAACCGCUAUGGCAUCCUAGUUUUAAACUCAGUACUAAAUUUACAGAUCCAUUUAAACCCCCCAAAUCAGUCUCUCACCGUCUCAAGUCUCAAACAAAAAACCUGACCGGAACCCAAACCGCCAAAUCCGAUUCGAUGGUGGACUGUGCUAAAACCCCUAAAAUUCCAAGACUGACAUGCGGUAAAGGAGAUGGUGAUAGACUUAGCAAUCUUCCGGAGCACAUCAUUUAUCACAUAUUCUCGUUCAUGGAAACAGUUGAUGUUGUUAGAGCAAGCACUGUUUCGCGAAGAUGGAGGUACUUGUGGCUUUCCGUUCCUUAUUUGAACUUCGACUAUCACACAAUUUGGUCAGACCCGGAAAGUAGAUGGUCUCGUAGGAAAAUCAAUGAUAAGUUCAAAGAUUUUGUCAACUGGGUAAUAUUUUCUCAAAAUGGGUCUGUUAAUAUUCAAAGAUUUCGUCUUUGCUGCUGGGAUUAUUUAGCAAGUUACGAUAACGAUAGAACGAUUUACAGAUGGGUUUCUGCUAUGGCACGUCGAAACGUGCAAGUGCUUGAUCUGGCUAUAGCUUCACUAUACCCAUUUGAGUUUGACUUGCCACAUAGUCUUGUAACUUGUGAUUCAUUGGUGGAACUGAAGUUGAGUUUGAGCUUUCAUGUUCACCGAUGUUUUUUAAAGCUGCCUACUGCUGCUGGUUUUAUUGGGCUCAAGUCUCUUGAUUUACAAAGUGUUGCGUUGGAUGAUAAUUUGUUUCCUGAAUUUAUUUCAAAUCUUCCCCUGCUUGAGAAUUUGUGUAUGUUGUCAUGUGUUUUUCCUGAAUUGAAGGUUCUUGACAUUUCUUCCACUAAUUUGAAGAAUUUGGCUCUGGAAUCCAUUGUUGGCAAUGAUAAUGCUGGCAAUGAUGAUGCUGGCAAUGAUGAUGCUGGCAACUACAAGCUUAAGAUUGCUUGUCCAAAUCUUGUGUCUUUUAAUUAUAUAGCUUUAGCUCCAUGGUUACCUCACUUUGCUUUUGAGAGCUUAAACUCCUUGCAAAAUGCAUUCAUUGACCUGGAUGAUUAUAACGAGGAUGACAUGGAGAACGAAAGAUGUCAUGUUUUAUCUACAAUCUUCAAUGACUUUCGUGAAGUUAAAGUUUUGAAAUUAUCAGAAGCCAUUCUUCUCGAGGUAUGAUUUCAAAUACAUUCAUUGCACCAAAUCAUGAUUCUGCCAGAACUUGUCUACACUUUUUUAUUUUGACAUUAGAAAUGAAGCUUAAGUAAACUGAAUCUACUUUCUUUGUUUGGUAAAAUAAGAAUUCUAUUGAUUAUGGAACCUUCCUAAAUGCUAAUUUGUUCUUUAGACUGUGUAUAAGUCAUUGUGACAUUGUAUGAAGUCUCAUUUAUCUGAGUAAUCAAUUGUUAUUGAUGUCAAAGACUAGAACUCAUUGGUGACUUGAGUUUAUGUAUAUUAUCGUUUGUUAGAUUUUUUGUGUGAUUAUUGCACUUAACUUGACUAAUGUAUUCUCUUUCUUUUUGCCAUUGUUCCUCCAGGUUCUUGAUCCUGAUCCUGCUCACGAAGAACCAGCAUUUUUUUCCACUUCAUUCAAUAAUUUGAAGUCCUUAAUACUUUCUGCAGGUCCGGGUGUAUGUCUCAUGCCAUCAAUGCUUAGGUUGCUCAACUGCUCUCCAAAUCUAGAAGCUCUUGCAAUAUAUUCUCCUAAGGUAAUCUUAACACCAAAAACUAUUCCAUUUGUUAGAUACCGUCGCUUCUAUCCAUUUUUUUUAAAAAUCAUAUCUCCCAUUUAUGUGCUAAAAUUUUAAUUUUGUUAAAGUGCAACUGGGCUUUGCUUAAAUUAUCGCAAUAGAGUUGAAACCUGAAAGUAUUUGUGAUAUAUUAUGUUUACCGCUUAGAGCUUAAAGUAAAUGUUAAUCUUGUGGCCUCUUGGUUGUUCCCAUGCUAUUGCUUGUUGAGCAGAUGGUUGAAUUUAGAGUCAAUCAAUCGGUUGUGUUCUUCUGAGGUUUGUGCAAGUUUUGUAAAAGAGCAAAGUUUAGUAUUUGUUUAGUUUGUGAAAAUGAUAUAGCUUUUUCUAAUUCAUCUUACUCUAUUCUUUGCUUAAAAAUGAAUUCUCCUUUUGAUUUGAUUCCUUGACUGCAUUUCGGUCUGUUUUCUCUUGGCAGCAUCGGCGUGGAUAUAAUGCUUAUAGGAAAACACCGAACAAGGCUGCUAUUUCAUGUUUGACAAAUCAUCUCAAGACAGUUGAAAUAAAACAUUUUAGCGGUGAUAUGAAUCAACUUGAAAUUGUGAGGUUUCUUCUAAGGAAUGGACAUGUAUUGCAGAGAAUGAGUAUUAGAUGGGUGGCAGAUGUUAAGAAUCAAGGGAAGAUUAUCUCAAGGAUAAUGAAGUUUCGGAGAUCAUCUUCAAGUGUUGUGCUGAAAUUCCUAGAUCCUAAGCCAGCUGAUGAUUUUUCAGAUUAUUUAUUUGAUGAUGAGCAAAAGAACUAAAAUUAUGUUUAAAUUAAAAAAAAAAAAAGUGGUUUAAGUGUAUGUUCGAAUUAAAUAGUCUUUUGGAUUUGUAGAAACUGAAAGGAGUACAGUGCCAGUCACUGUGGCAGCCUUAUGUUUUGUUUGAAAAAAUUCGGAAGCUUCUAAAUUGUUAUAUACCUCAAUUCUGAAGUCGUUAGUAUGUAUAUUAUAAGCAAUACAUAUGUUCCAUUUGUCAUAUUUUAUUUUGGCAUUACGAUUGUUUUGUCUUGAUUAAUAUUGAUUAUAAUUUGUUUAACAUUUAUCUGGCAUAUGUAGAAUUAUACUUUAUCUGAGUAGAUGACGCUGCUGCGUACAUCUUCAGGACUCGGUCAUAAACUGUUUAUCUCUGCGUCUGUCUAGCAUCCAUCCACGUAUGACCUGUCGGCUUUUUGCCCGCAAGCAUACAGUUAGGGGUGGUAAAAAUAUCUGUCCGGUCUGGAUUCGGUUCGCACCCGGAUGUUUUAUCCGGCCCGGUCUUGGGCAUCAUUUGAUAAAUUCGGAACCCGAGUUUUAUUAAGCGCCUUGGCCGUACAGCAGUAUAUUAUUUUAAAUAUUUAUAUUUAUUUGACUCAUUUAUUACAUAUAUAUAAAGUUUUAGACACUUAAAGUUUAUAUUUUCAUGUCAAAUUUCAUUAAAAUAAAUUUAAAACUUAUAAAAUUACCAAAAAAUAAAAAAUAUAUACAUAUAUAAUAUUAAAAAAUAUAAAAUCUGGGUACCCAAAUUAAAACCCGGCACAAUCCGACCCAGGCAUCUAUGCAUCCGGGUCGGGUCCGGUCAUUACGAUACCCCGACCCAGCCCAGGGUUUUGCCAUCCCUACAUGCAGUGUAUAUGAAUUGCAGUUCUUGUACGGACAACAUGUCAUCCAUAAAACUCGAGUUAUGUUCUUUUUAAUCUUUAGUUUAGAUUACAUUUUGCAAAACUAAUAAACGAUAGAGCUCCUAGCAAGGUCAAUAGUUAACUGCGAAUCCAGAAGAUCGGAAUGCUAUACCUUUCAAACAUGCAUUUCAAAGCCAUCUGCGGAAAUGGAAAACAAGCAUUUCAAACUCGUUGUUAAAACAAUGAUAAAAGUAAUUUUAAUCCUAAUUUUUAAUUCCAGGCAUGAAGCUAACUCAUAUACAAAGAGAUAUCAAGUAAGCAGAGGCGAAAGCUAAAAGCUUUGGUUACAGGGGUCGGUGUGAAUAAUGUAUAUAUCGUUUAGACAUAUUUUUGAAUAUCUAUUUUAAUUUAGGGGAUAUUAUAUAUAUUUAAAAAAAAUUAAAAUUUUUACGGGAGCCAUGGCUUACUAUAGUCUCCAUUAAGAUUCACCCUCCCUACUUUUCGUACUUCAUUAAAGUAUAGGAUAAAUAUUUACAAUAUUAUAAAUAGAUUUUAUAAAAGCAGUCCAUAUAUGAAAGUCCUUCUGCACUCUGAAUUAAAUAAAAAUAACGUGAGACUAACAAUUUAAGAGUCUUUUUUGCAACGUAUAUCGUGCAGUGAUGUACUCUAUCGACGGAGGACUCUCUUCAUAUGCUUUUUAUUUUUCCAUGCCUGAUUAUAAAUAGGAUCACUCUAUGUUACAUUAAACGUAACGUACACACACUCACAACAACAGUAACAAGUCCCAUCAUUAGAACUGUUGCUGUGAGUGCGUGUAUGUUACGUUUAACGUAACAUAUCACUAGCCUUAUAAAUAACAUCACUUUUAAGGAUUUUUACAAAUUUUUAUUACAACCGUAACUUUUGUCCUCAUACAAUAACGGUGUCCAUUGUCCACAUAUAAAAAGUUCAUCAAUAAACAUAUAACCUAAUUAAAAUUCGUGACAAAAUCCAAAGGAAAGAAAGCGUGGAGUAAUAUAUAUAACAAAGGCAUUGAGCAUACACCAGGUGUAAUUUGCAUUGCAUGGCCACCCUUACGUGGCAGUUCCGCCGAUUAACACAUCUUUAAAAGUUAAAGCCCCCCUCUCUCCUUGUUAAGGGCGUUUCAACACAACACUCAUCAAUGCAAGCAAAGAGACAGUGAAGGAAAAAUUAAGAAACCAAUAUUGUCACUUGGAAGAAAGAAACAAUCAUUACAUAUAUAAUACGAUGGAUACUAAGAACAACAGGAAGCAUUUGUCCUGCAUUGCCAACGACGUCGUUCACAGAUGUGCACUGUACGUAUCUCUCUCUCUCUCUCUCUCUCCUUUUCUUUUUCUCCCCGAUCACUUUGUUUUCUUUAUAUAUACGAAUGUAUGUAGAACGUAGUAGGUUUUGUAUAAAUAUCUGUUGCACACAUUAUUUGAUGUGCAUUUAAAUAUAAUUAAUGGUAAUUGAGAUGACACACAAAGACAAUGCAAAAAAAGAAAAAAAAAGAGAGAGUAAAUUAAUGAAUUUGCCUUGAUCCAGUUAAUUUGUGUGCAUUUAGCUGACUGUAAGGUGGUUUCGAGUGUGUUUUUGUUUGGCAACUUUUCACACAAAAGCACUUUUGGGAAGCACUUUAUGUAAUGUAAGUGCCUCUAAAAACUGUUUUAUGUAUUACUGCCAAAUGCAGUGCAGAGGUUACAAUGGGAGGGUCGGUUUUAUACCUGUUCUUCGAGACUUAAUUUCAAUAGGAGAUUGAAAUAUUUAUGAGAAUUAUGUUGUUAGCAGACUUAAUUCUUUUGGAGGAAUUCAUUCCAUCGUAGACCACUCAAUGAAUUUGGUCGAUUGAGAUUAUUUGAGUGCAUGCUUCAAAACUGGAGCAUUAAUUCUUUGACAUAAAUGGGCUUUAACAUAAGGCGCGUUCGCUUAUUCCAUUUAUUCAAGAAGUUGGCACUCAAUUUUUUAUUACUAGCCUUUAGAUGGCCAGCAGCCUUUUGUAGCCCUUUCUAGUUUCUACUAAAGUGGUUAUGUGCAAUAGUUCUAUUCUGGGUUGCAAAAUUAUUGUGUCAGUAGAAUCCACAUACAUUAUGUACUUUUCUGUAUUUAAUUUCAAGAGGCUUAGUUAUAUCAUAGUUUUAGGAUUAUAAUAAGUCUGUCCGUUACCAUGUUAUUGGAAUUUUUUUUUUUUUCUAAAUUAGUUGGACACAUUAUUGGAUUGGUCAAUAAAGGAAAGCAUUUGGCAAGUACUUGGUUUGAUAUUAACAUAUAGUUGCAGUAAAGCACAUUAACUUGUGCAUCCUGAAAUUCUUGCAGGCAAGUAAAGGCUUCUGAGGAUUCAUUGGUGGAGGGGUUUGAAGCUGAAUGGAAGCCUGAAAUCGGACAGUAUUCGAAGAAAUUUGUGGAAUAUUGCAGCAUAAAGGCUCUUACUAACAUGUGCCAGAGCAUAGAAGAAAAGAUUAGUGAUGGAUCAUUUAGUCGACUCACAUUUGAUAUGAUGCUUGCCUGGGAAAUGCCUAGUGCCGCCGAUGAGGAGUCUCAUACUGUAAGCAAUCAUCAUAAUACUCAUAUCCUAUAUUUAUUUCAUGGUCCACCAAAUCAUUAUGAUAUUAUCCCAAUUUUGGUGUGCCUAUCUUCUCUUCAAGUUGCUUCUUCUAUUUCUUUUUCAUUAUACAUUCUCUGGUUCUCAUCAGUUUUCGCUCCAAUUAAAAGAAGCAUGAAUUCUUUCACUUAUCUGCUGAAUCUGUUCUAAUGAUUGGGCAAUAGAUUUUUAUUCCUCUCUGUGGUUACUACUAUUUUGAUCUUGUGCAGGAGUGCAUGGGAAAGGAGAAUGAGGAUAGAAAGGCUGUAAAAGUCACUUCAGAUCAUGAUGAAAUUCCUCUCUUCUAUACAGACAUCAUGCCUCUUCUAGUAAGAGCGUCUCUUUCUGAUCAUUUGAGUGCUAAUGUACCGACCAAGCAUUAGCCUUCACUGAAACUCGUAUAUGAUUUCAUGAACAUUGAUUAAUUGUUAUUUUUGCUAACUACUCUAUGAGAUCUGAUCAAAUUAGAUAUAUAAAUGUUGCGAUUGAUCUUGGAUUUGCUUUAUAUUUGGCCAUCAAUUAUAUUUUACUCUUCAUUUUUAUAUUUGUUUGGUUUGAUAAUUUACCCUCUGGCCCAUAUAUAUGAUGGUAGGUUAAUAAUGAACCGAGUGUUGGAGAAGAUGCAUUUGUAUGGAUGGGAUCCUUAGUUCCUCUAGUUUCAGAUGUUAUUAAUGGGAGAUUUACAUAUGAAAUUCUGACAGCGCCAACAGGAAACCGGCUCCAUUCUCCAGCAUAUGAUAUAUUUCUAAAGGAGAUGGACAAGUAAUUCUUCCAAUUCUUCCAUGCAGCAAUUUUACCACUCAGAAACUUUAAGUGCCGUUUGGUUUUGUGACAUGCAAAUUAUCAUGGAACACUCAAAAUGAGUUGUUCUUAACAAUUUCUAGAAUUUGCAAACUCACUAACCAUAUCUGAAAAUGCAGAAGCAUUAUUACCACUUAUUGAUAACAAUAUCUCUGCUCGACUUGUUUGGGUGCUUUCAGCCGUUUUUCAUUUUCUUUUGGAAAUCUUGAUUUCAUAGAUGCAUAAAACAUUUGCAAAAACAAGCAACUCCAAAGGGUGUUGAGCUGGCUGACGAUGAAUUUAUACUGCAUGUGGAGGGAACUGCAAGCACACAGAGAGUAGUGCGCCAUAUUGGGAAAACAAGUUGGCCUGGUAUGUCUUUAGUUUGAUGUCUUACAUCUUUUUAACUGCUGUAGAAAUUGUUACUUGGAUUUUACUAAUCAUAAUUGUUGUCUCUAGGUAGGCUCACACUGACAAAUUAUGCGCUCUACUUCGAGGCUUCGGGAGUAAUAACAUAUGAAGAUGCUCUAAAGAUUGACCUCUCAAAAGAUGCUGAACUAUCUGUUAAACCAACUGCCACAGGUCCAUGGGGUGCUCCGCUUUUUGACAAGGCAAUUGUAGUCGAGUCCCCUGAACAGUAAGCAUAGUUGCACUUAUAUGAAAUUACUGGAGCUAUUAGCAUCGUUAUUCUUAUUUUAAAAAUUGUUAAAUGCUUGGUAGUUAUCCCAUAAGCUAGAUUUUAAAUGCAUAACAUACAAGGCAGACAUCAGAAAGCAUUCUGAUUCGUUUAUUAAAGUUUGUCUUUUAUUAAGCUAAAGAUAUUAAUGCUGCUAGAUUUUUCUAAUUUGGUUGUAGAUAUUGGUUAGUUACACUGUCAAAUGAGCAAAUCUCGUGGAUAUUUCAUAGUGUGGUUAUGCAAUUGUUUUUUGCCCUUCACUUUUCUAGAUCUGAGGGAAUUGUCCUGGAGUUUCCAGAGAUAACUAGCUCGACAAGGCGUGAUCAUUGGCUGGCCCUCACAAAGGAGAUAAUGUUAAUGCACAAAUUCCUGUCAAAAUUCAAGGUGGAAUGUCCAAUACAAGCAUGGGAGAUGAAUGCAAGGACAAUACUUUGCAUCAUAAGACUCCAUGCAGCAAGAGAAAUGCUGAGGAUAUUGCCUCCAGAUCCCACAAAAUUCUUGAUUUUUGCUUUGUAUGAUGAGUUGCCAAAGGGAGACUACGUGCUAGAAGAGCUUGCUGAGAGUCUGAAGAAAGUUAAUUGUGGACAUCCUUCCAGUGCUAGCUCAAUUCUGAGAUGUAUGAACCUGUCAAUUGCCGCAAGUGGAGAAGUAAAAGAAGGAAAAGAACUGGAGGAACAUAAACAUAUAAGUGAUGAAAGCUGUUCAUCACUGGAAACUGCCAUCAAUCAAUCUAAAGAGCAAGCAAAGGCAAUUGAAAUUGCUAAGUCUACCACUGAGGGCCUGAAAGAUGAAGGGAUCAGUGAUAGUAUCCUUGUUCUCUUGGUAUGUUUUUACUUCCAAAUUGUUGUUUAUGCUGCUGAUUUUAUAUUGACAGAAUAAGUAAUGACAUCUCAACAAAUCAUGGUAUUGAGAGCUUGUUUGACAUUUAUCAAACACAGCAAAGAAAUUGAAUUUUAUGAAAUUCCUAUAGCACCCUAUAAUUUGUACCAAAAAAUCUCUGCACCUUUGGCAUGCUGUAUGGUAUGGAAGUAUAGCUGUCUCAGAGAGGUUACUGUUAUUUACUUUAUUUGGUUUUGUAGUAUUGAUGUUAAGUUUGAUUUAAUAAUGUAGGAGCUACUAAAGCCACUUAAAAGUGUUUUACCCUGGAUUCGAGAAGUUGUUUCAUGGGAAAAACCAGCAACCACCCUCACUGUGAUUGCAACAACUCUACUAAUAGUGUACAAGUAAGUCAGUGCUCCCUCGUAAUUUUCUUAUAUACGGAAAUUUUUUUGAAAGUGCAUGUUGAUCAAGAACCACUUCAUUACUUGGCCUAUUAAUGUGUAAACUUUGCAAAUGACUAGUAAACUAUAUAAUGGCAAUGUAGGGAGUGGGUAGGCCAGGCUAUAGCUGCUUGUUUGCUCACCAUCGUGGUGAAGAUGCUUCAGGCAAGAAAAAAAAGGUUGACAGACAAAUGCAAUGAGAUAGUAGUAUGCACUGCUUCAGAUCAGAGCACCGUGGAGAGCAUUGUGUCGGCUCAAUACAGUUUGAUAACUAUUCAUGAGAUGUUGCAGGCAGCAAACAUUAUGAUUUUGAAGAUAUGGUCGAUAUUAAUUUCAAAGGCCCGCAAGGUACUCAUUUUGAUAACCUAUGCUUUCAGCUUAGCAAUUAAAUAUCGUUUUCAAUCAAUAUUGCUUAUUCGUCGUUAGCUGAAGUUCGUUUACCUACUACAUUUGUUGGAUGUCUUCAAUUAUUGAGGAGUCUUAGUUGCAUUUCCAAAUUGUUCUAAAUCCUCGUUUCAUUUAAUGGGUUGCAGCAUGCGGACACGGUUAUGGUGGCAUUGACUGGGUUAGCAAUAGUAUUAGCAGUUGUUCCAUUCAAGUAUAUUGUCAUGGGAGGUGUGCUGUACGGCUUCAUUAUGAACUCGAAGCCAAUGAAGUACCUGGGAAACAACUCAAACGACCAAAGCGGCAACAGACGUCUAAAAGAAUGGUGGGAGUCAAUCCCUAUUAUUCCUGUUCGCGUCGUGGACAAGCUUCCUGAGUGCCCAAAAUAAUGUGUCGGCUCCUGCACAAUCACAGUUGCCUAAAUCCUCUGUUUCUGAACUUUUGUUAUCAACUUACUGCACGAUAUACACUUCUGAGUUUGCUUUUGCCAUCAGAGUAGAACUGUAUCUGAAACACAGCAUACACUUAAAUGCUCAUUACAAAUUUGGAGAAAAGCACAAGUAGAAAAGGAUUGAAGACAUUCAGUAACGUUGAAAUUCUGCAUUUUCUUUAAUUUUUGUUAUGAACAAGUUUCUUAAUUAUUUGUUCUCUUGAUGUAAAAUAGCAUAUUGCUGGGAGUAAUGAAGAUGUGACUGUGCUUUUCCUAUUAGCAUGUUAAUAAAAGCAAAAUGGAAAAUUAUUAGUUACGUCCUCUCGUUUUGCGGCUUAUUGAGCUAACAAGUAACUUCUUCAUUACUAGCGUGCAAGUUUGCAACUAGUGAAUCUCAAAUAUAACUCUACCCAAUGGAUGGAUGUACGAUGGAUGUACCUACCCAAUCAUUUAUUUCUCAUUAAAUCUGUUAAAACAGAAAAAGUCCCGACGUCAUAUUCUUCGCGCCUUUUAAAAAACGACACGUGUCGUAUCCCACUACUCGCGUGCUGGAAACUUUAACCCACUCUGACUGCGUGACAGCAGAUCAUUCCCAAUUCAUUUCAGUUUCACUGUCACUUUCACUCCUCCUCAGGCGCCUUCCGACAAACAGGAAGAAUGCAAACUUGAAAACCCCCAAAAACCCUAACGUUCCCCCGGAGACCCUAACCCACCAUAAACCCUGGCUCUUAAUCCUAGCCACUAUGAGCGACCAAGACGAGCAAUCGCGAGCUCAGAAAGCCGCCCAGUUAACAAGUCCGCUCUCAUCCUCUCUCUCGAACCUUUCUUCUUCUUCAAGAAGCAUCCCCUCUAAUCAAGAUUUCCAUUUCUUCUACAAUUUCCCUGAAUUCAAUCAACCCGUCCAAGAAAUCGCGAACCAAUCGCAGCUCCUCCUACAAUCCAUCGGCUCAUCGGAGAUUUUUAACCAACCGAUCAAUUUUCCUGAUGAGGUUGACAUCUCGGACGCCUACGACUGGCUUGUCGACGUAAACGACAACGUUUUCGAGCGUAUGGAUGUUUCUUUCGACGAAUUUAGUAAAGUAAGAGGGGAAAAUGGGGAAGGAGAUGGAAAUGAAGGUGGCUUUCAGUUGGUUUAUGGGAAGAACAAGAAGAAGGGCGACAUUGUGGGUGGCUCUGCCCCGGCCAGUGUGAAAGUGAAGGACAGGAAAGAGAAAAGCAAGGUGCCGUUUCAUAUAUCGACUAUAACAAAACCGCAAGAGGAGUACAAGAUAGUUGUGAACAAUGCGAACCAGCCGUUUCAGCAUGUUUGGUUGCAGAAGAUUGAGGACAGUGGACGGUUUAUCCAUCCUCUUGUAAGUUUGUUAUUUUUUGAAUAUUUUGAUAUUGGAUUUGACUUACUGGGUUUGUUAAAUUUGUAAUCUGAAAAUAGUACCUUUCUUAGGGACUUUUUAGUGAUCAAUUAUUUCUUUCAUUUUCUUUUUGGGUGGUUUGUGGUAUAUGUUUACGCUUAUCUUGUUUGGAAUUUGUGUGCAAUUCUUAUUAUUCAUGCGAGAAUUUUAACACUAUCAUGUGGUUCAUGCUUGCCAAAAAUAUACCAAAACACUUUUGCUUAUUGCUAUUGCUUUAUUUGUACAGGACAAUCUUUCUGUUUUGGAUUUUGUUGAUAAAGAUAUAGGGGAUGUGGAACCUGUAAAACCUCCCUCGUUGGAGCAGACACCAUUCAAGCUUGUGGAAGAAGUUAAAGAUUUAAAGGAGCUAGCUGCUAAAUUGAAGAGCGUAGAUGAGUUUGCGGUAAAGUCUGACUUCUGUGAUUAUGUUUUAUUGAUAAAUAAUGCCGUGGUUCAGCCUUACUGCA
rnacentral:lncRNA from 1 species